UACGUAGGGUGCGAGCGUUAAUCGGAAUUACUGGGCGUAAAGCGUGCGCAGGCGGUUUUGUAAGACAGAUGUGGAAUCCCCGGGCUUAACCUGGGAACUGCAUUUGUGACUGCGAGACUAGAGUGCGGCAGAGGGGGGUAGAAUUCCACGUGUAGCAGUGAAAUGCGUAGAUAUGUGGAGGAAUACCGAUGGCGAAGGCAGCCCCCUGGGUCGACACUGACGUUCAUGCACGAAAGCGUGGGGAGCAAACAGG
rnacentral:rRNA from 1 species